rnacentral:rRNA from 1 species
UGCGUAGGCGGUCGGGUAAGUCUGACGUGAAAUCUUCAAGCUCAACUUGGAAACUGCGUCGGAUACUAUUCGGCUAGAGGAAUGGAGGGGAGACUGGAAUACUUGGUGUAGCAGUGAAAUGCGUAGAUAUCAAGUGGAACACCAGUGGCGAAGGCGAGUCUCUGGACAUUUCCUGACGCUGAGGCAAGACCAGGGGAGCGAAACG